GAGCUUGCAGCUGCUCCCGGAGUCUGUGUCACUGACUCCUCCAUGCCACCUCACCUCCCACCCCCAAGGACAGAAAAUGAAGAGUCGCUUUCUUUUGCGCAUACUCGGGCUGCUGCGGCUCCAGGUCGCUGUCUGCCAAAAGCCCACGCUGAGAUUGAACCUUCCAGAACAAAAUGGCAGCCUGCCCUCCGAUCUGGAGUACAACUCCUCAGUGCACCUGCCUUCAGAACUUGUGUCACCGCUGGAACGUGGCAGGAGCCUCCAUCCUACGUUCUCAUUGCCUAACCUAGCCUUCACAAGGCUGGCUUUGGAGAUUCGCCAGCUGCAAACAUCUUCCCAGGGCAUGCCCACAUUCCCGUGGUGUACCUGUGCCAAGGGACAGGGGAGGCUUUGAAGCAUCUGGCUCCAACUCCCAGAACUCUAUAGGAAUCUUGCCCAAAAUACAGAGAUUACUGUCUCCGCAAGUAUUUCA
rnacentral:lncRNA from 1 species